rnacentral:rRNA from 1 species
GAUGAACGCUGGCGGCGUGCCUAAUACAUGCAAGUCGAGCGAACAGACGAGGAGCUUGCUCCUCUGACGUUAGCGGCGGACGGGUGAGUAACACGUGGAUAACCUACCUAUAAGACUGGGGUAACUUCGGGAAACCGGAGCUAAUACCGGAUAAUAUAUUGAACCGCAUGGUUCAAUAGUGAAAGACGGUUUUGCUGUCACUUAUAGAUGGAUCCGCGCUGCAUUAGCUAGUUGGUAAGGUAACGGCUUACCAAGGCAACGAUGCGUAGCCGACCUGAGAGGGUGAUCGGCCACACUGGAACUGAGACACGGUCCAGACUCCUACGGGAGGCAGCAGUAGGGAAUCCUCCGCAAUGGGCGAAAGCCUGACGGAGCAACGCCGCGUGAGUGAUGAAGGUCUUCGGAUCGUAAAACUCUGUUAUUAGGGAAGAACAAAUGUGUAAGUAACUAUGCACGUCUUGACGGUACCUAAUCAGAAAGCCACGGCUAACUACGUG